rnacentral:rRNA from 1 species
ACUCCUGCGGGAGGCAGCAGUGGGGAAUUUUGGACAAUGGGCGAAAGCCUGAUCCAGCCAUGCCGCGUGCAGGAUGAAGGCCUUCGGGUUGUAAACUGCUUUUGUACGGAACGAAACGGCCUUUUCUAAUAAAGAGGGCUAAUGACGGUACCGUAAGAAUAAGCACCGGCUAACUACGUGCCAGCAGCCGCGGUAAUACGUAGGGUGCAAGCGUUAAUCGGAAUUACUGGGCGUAAAGCGUGCGCAGGCGGUUAUGUAAGACAGUUGUGAAAUCCCCGGGCUCAACCUGGGAACUGCAUCUGUGACGGCAUAGCUAGAGUACGGUAGAGGGGGAUGGAAUUCCGCGUGUAGCAGUGAAAUGCGUAGAUAUGCGGAGGAACACCGAUGGCGAAGGCAAUCCCCUGGACCUGUACUGACGCUCAUGCACGAAAGCGUGGGGAGCAAACAGGAUUAGAAACCCUAGUAGUCCCAU